GUGAAUACCUUGGCUUAACCAAGGAAGGGCAUUUGAAACUGCUUGGCUUGAGUACGGGAGGGGGAAGCGGAAUUCCCGGUGUAGAGGUGAAAUUCGUAGAUAUCGGGAGGAACACCGGUGGCGAAGGCGGCUUUCUGGACCGAUACUGACGCUGAGACGCGAAAGCGUGGGGAGCAAACAGGAUUAGAUACCCUGGUAGUCCACGCCUUAAACGUUGGGCACUAGGCGUUGUGGGUAUUGACCCCUGCAGUGCCAAGGGCGAAUUCCACAGUGGAUA
rnacentral:rRNA from 1 species